GUGUCAGCAGCCGCGGUAAAACGUAGGAGCCUAGCGUUAUCCGAAUUUACUGGGCGUAAAGCGCGUGCAGGCGGCUUCGUAAGUGGAUUGUGAAAUCUCCCGGCUCAACUGGGAGGGGACGGUCCAGACUGCGAGGCUGGAGGCAGGGAGAGGGAGGUGGAAUUCCCGGUGUAGUGGUGAAAUGCGUAGAGAUCGGGAGGAACACCAGUGGCGAAAGCGGCCUCCUGGCCCUGACCUGACGCUGAGACGCGAAAGCUAGGGGAGCGAACGGGAUUAGAUACCCCAGUAGUCC
rnacentral:rRNA from 1 species